UACGUAGGGUCCGAGCGUUGUCCGGAAUUAUUGGGCGUAAAGGGCUCGUAGGCGGUUCGUCACGUCGGGAGUGAAAACUCGGAGCUCAACUCCGAGCCUGCUUCCGAUACGGGCAGACUAGAGGUAGGCAGGGGAGAGCGGAACUCCUGGUGUAGCGGUGGAAUGCGCAGAUAUCAGGAAGAACAGCCGGUGGCGAAGGCGGCUCUCUGGGCCUUACCUGACGCUGAGGAGCGAAAGCGUGGGGAGCAAACAGG
rnacentral:rRNA from 1 species